rnacentral:tRNA from 1 species
GUCAGAGUGGCUCAGUGGGUUGAGCAUCUGACUUCGGCUCAGAUCAUGAUCUCAUGGUUUGUGGGAUUGAGCCCCACAUCAGGCU